rnacentral:rRNA from 1 species
AUUGAACGCUGGCGGCAUGCCUUACACAUGCAAGUCGAACGGCAGCACGGGAGCAAUCCUGGUGGCGAGUGGCGAACGGGUGAGUAAAGUAUCGGAACGUGCCCAGUCGUGGGGGAUAACGUAGCGAAAGUUACGCUAAUACCGCAUACGAUCUAUGGAUGAAAGCGGGGGAUCGCAAGACCUCGCGCGAUUGGAGCGGCCGAUAUCAGAUUAGGUAGUUGGUGGGGUAAAGGCUCACCAAGCCGACGAUCUGUAGCUGGUCUGAGAGGACGAGCGGCAACACUGGGACUGGAAACAGGCCCGGACUCCUACGGUGGGCAGCAGUGGGGAAUUUUGGACAAUGGGCGAAAGCCUGAUCCAGCCAUGCCGCGUGCAGGACGAAGGCCUUCGGGUUGUAAACUGCUUUUGUACGGAACGAAAAGGUUUGGCCUAAUAAGCUGAGCUCAUGACGGUACCGUAAGAAUAAGCACCGGCUAACUACGUGCCAGCCGCCGCCGUAA